UUUCACAGCUACCUACCGCGCUCCCACCGCACCUACAGCUGCGUACACUGCCGUGCACACCUGGCCAGGCACGAGGAGCUCAUCUCCAAGGUGCCCCCUCUGCGCCCGCGUCACCUCCCCGGGGCCCUGGUGUAGCCAUCUUCCCCUCUGCAGUGUCCCUGGGAAAUAGUGAGGGUCUCCCCAGGGUGUCCCCAGGGUAGUUGUGUCUGUCCUUUCUGCGUUGUCCCCUCUAUGCUGUCCCCCCAUGCUGUCUCCUCCUCCACAGCAUCCCCUCUGCAGUGUCACCUCCAUGGUGACCUGAGAGUGCCAGGUAUCCCCCUGUGCCCAUACUCCCCACAGUGUCCCCAUGACAGAAAGUCUUUCCCUGCGAUGGCAUGGUGGUGAUGGAGGAGGGGAGUAAGGGAGGCACAGAGGACGCUGGGUUGAGUCACGCUGUGUCCCUGCAGUCCUUCCAGGGCAGCCAUGGCCGUGCCUACCUGUUCAACUCGGUCACCCUGUCUGGUGCAGGGUUAAUGUGGGCUGUGGCCCGGCCGAACAGCGCCUGCUGCUCACUGGGCUUCACUCUGUGGCUGACAUCUUCUGCGAGAACUGCAAAACCACCCUGGGCUGGAAAUACGUGAGUGCCCCUGGCACCCCCAACCUGGGAUUGGGCAUCACACUGGCACCCCAAUCCCUUGGCCUGGGCAUCCCAAUGACAUAAUAUGGGCACUCUGAGCCCACGGCACCGCAAAUCCCACUUGGUUACCCAAAGCCCUGCUGCAGCCCACUGUGCAGGCACCCCAAACCCACAAUAGUUGCCCUGGGACCCCAAAUCCAUAGCACAUGUCCUGUGACCUGGGCCCUGAGGGGGCUCAGGCUGCUAUCCCCACAGGAGCAGGCAUUCGAGAGCAGCCAGAAGUACAAGGAGGGGAAGUUCAUCAUCGAGAUGUCGCACAUGGUCAAGGAGAACGGCUGGGAUUG